CCUACGGGUGGCUGCAGUGAGGAAUAUUGGUCAAUGGCCGAGAGGCUGAACCAGCCAAGUCGCGUUAGGGAAGACGGCCCUACGGGUUGUAAACCUCUUUUGUCGGGGAGCAAAGCGAGUCACGUGUGACUCAUUGAGAGUCCCCGAAGAAAAAGCAUCGGCUAACUCCGUGCCAGCCGCCGCGGUAAUACGGAGGAUGCGAGCGUUAUCCGGAUUUAUUGGGUUGAAAGGGUGCGCAGGCGGAGGUGCAAGUCAGCGGGAAAAUGGCGGGGCUCAACCCCGGACUGCCGUUGAAACUGCAUCACUUGAGUGCGCGAGAGGUAGGCGGAAUGCGUGGUGUAGCGGUGAAAUGCAUAGAGAUCACGCAGAACUCCGAUUGCGAAGGCAGCAUACCGGCGCGCAACUGACGCUCAUGCACGAAAGCGUGGGUAUCGAACAGGAUUAGAUACCCUAGUAGUC
rnacentral:rRNA from 1 species